UUACAUUCUGUUCAUAUAAACUCUUCAGCAGCUGAUAACAGCAAUGUCCAGAUUUCUUGAAAAAAAAAGAAGCCACAUCUAGAAGCCUCACUUCCAACAUAUGAAGACGACUAUGUAUUUCAUUAUAGAAGCCAAAACAGGUAUAAUUUCUACUCUUGAAGAACCAAUGUGGCAACUUCAGAAGAGCCAUAUAAAAGGGAAAUUGCCCAUUGAUUCAUGAUAAUCGAUACAGAUCAAGUGAAAAAGACAAUAGAACCGAGACUCAGAAAGUUUAUACAACUGCUGAAAGGCAGCCGCAAACU